GUCAUGUGCAUGCUUCCCUCUGCUGGCAGGAAUCUACAACUGCUGCUGUGUCAUUAUCACACGUUCCAGUCCGUAACAUCUGGGGGAUUUCUCUCGACACCCUCUUUGGCCAUAACUGUCAGCUGCACUGUGAGCAGGUCUGUCUUUUUAAGGGUCCGGUCAGUCAAACAGAGUGAGGUGUGAGUUUGCACGGUACAGUAAAGCUGUUUCAACACUGAGACUGACCAGUGUGUCUGUGAUUGUGUUAGAUUCCACUCUUGGUCCUAUUUUUGUGCAAUCAGAACAAGGAUUUAUUUUUUUUAUUUUUUUUUACAGUGAGACAGAGUUUGUCAGAGACUGGAAUAAGUAGUGAAAUAUAUUCAUGAUUUUUUUUUUCUGAUCUUGUUUGGUUUGUUAGAAAUAUGGAUUGAAGGAUGCAUAAAUAUGAGGGAUUACAACCAUGGCUGUGUCAUACAUUAGAUCACUUAACAGUUUAUUUAAAAAUUAGGAUCAAGAUUCAUUAUCUGCAUUUAACCUAUCUAGAGUAUUAGGAGCAGAAGGACUGAAAUCCAGGUGUAAGUCUGUACACUGGACAUUAAACUAGCAUCCAGCUUUGAAGCAACAAAGCCAUUAUGCUGUCACAUUGACACUAAAGCUUAAAAUGUAAAGGUUUUUUUUUUUUUUUUACUCAUGCCCUUUAAUAUGCUUACCCAUACUGAUGAGUUGGAAUUGGUACAUGCAUAUCAGCAUCUGUUCCCAUAAUGGCUGGCAAAAGCUUAUUUCCAAAGUUCCAGCUUUCUUAUUUCUUCACUGACAGAAUUGCAAUAGAGGCAAAAGUCUGUGAAAUUCUUCUGUGACUGGCUUUUAUUGGCACUGCAUCAUGGGAUGUAUCACACUUGCCUUUGAGGCUGUGUAGACGAUUCUCUACAUACUAAUUGGGUACGUAUGAAUAGUUGGAAGGCACUGAGGAAGAAAGAGAAUGAGAAGUAGUUAGAAAGACAGAAGCAAAAACACCCCAGAGGCUCCCCAUACUAUUAAAAGAUAGGUUUAAUGUGAGAUUCUCAACUUCUGC
ensembl:lncRNA